AUUGAACGCUGGCGGCAGGCUUAACACAUGCAAGUCGAGCGGAGCGAGGGUGCUUGCACCUUAGCUUAGCGGCGGACGGGUGAGUAAUGCUUAGGAAUCUGCCUAUUAGUGGGGGACAACAUUCCGAAAGGAAUGCCAAUACCGCAUACGCCCUACGGGGGAAAGCAGGGGAUCUUCGGACCUUGCGCUAAUAGAUGAGCCUAAGUCGGAUUAGCUAGUUGGUGGGGUAAAGGCCUACCAAGGCGACGAUCUGCAGCGGGUCUGAGAGGAUGAUCCGCCACAAUGGGACUGAGACACGGCCCAGACUCCUACGGGAGGCAGCAGUGGGGAAUAUUGGACAAUGGGCGGAAGCCUGAUCCAGCCAUGCCGCGUGUGUGAAGAAGGCCUUUUGGUUGUAAAGCACUUUAAGCGAGGAGGAGGCUACUUAGAUUAAUACUCUGGGAUAGUGGACGUUACUCGCAGAAUAAGCACCGGCUAACUCUGUGCCAGCCGCCGCCGUAAUAC
rnacentral:rRNA from 1 species